rnacentral:rRNA from 1 species
GAUGAACGCUGGCGGCGUGCCUAAUACACGCAAGUCGAGCGAACAGAUGAGGAGCUUGCUCCUCUGACGUUAGCGGCGGACGGGUGAGCAACACGUGGAUAACCUACCUAUAAGACUGGGAUAACUUCGGGAAACCGGAGCUAAUACCGGAUAAUAUAUUGAACCGCAUGGUUCAAUAGUGAAAGACGGUUUUGCUGUCACUUAUAGAUGGAUCCGCGCCGCAUUAGCUAGUUGGUAAGGUAACGGCUUACCAAGGCAACGAUGCGUAGCCGACCUGAGAGGGUGAUCGGCCACACUGGAACUGAGACACGGUCCAGACUCCUACGGGAGGCAGCAGUAGGGAAUCUUCCGCAAUGGGCGAAAGCCUGACGGAGCAACGCCGCGUGAGUGAUGAAGGUCUUCGGAUCGUAAAACUCUGUUAUUAGGGAAGAACAAAUGUGUAAGUAACUAUGCACGUCUUGACGGUACCUAAUCAGAAAGCCACGGCUAACUACGUG